rnacentral:rRNA from 1 species
CGGGGUAGAGUAACGCGUGAGGAACCUGCCUCAAAGAGGGGGACAACAGUUGGAAACGACUGCUAAUACCGCAUAAGCCCACAGGUCGGCAUCGACCAGAGGGAAAAGGAGCAAUCCGCUUUGAGAUGGCCUCGCGUCCGAUUAGCUAGUUGGUGAGGUAAUGGCCCACCAAGGCAACGAUCGGUAGCCGGACUGAGAGGUUGAACGGCCACAUUGGGACUGAGACACGGCCCAG